AACGUAGGAGACAAACGUUAUCCGGAUUUACUGGGCGUAAAGGGCGUGUAGGCGGUAUGUUAAGUCUGGCGUGAAAGCUCUCGGCUAAACCGGGAGAGGUCGUUGGAUACUGGCAAACUAGAGGAUGGUAGAGGCGUGUGGAAUUCCGGGUGUAGUGGUGAAAUGCGUAGAGAUCCGGAGGAACACCAGUGGCGAAGGCGACACGCUGGGCCAUACCUGACGCUAAAGCGCGACAGCAUGGGGAGCAAACGGG
rnacentral:rRNA from 1 species